rnacentral:rRNA from 1 species
UGAGGAAUCUUGCGCAAUGGGCGAAAGCCUGACGCAGCCACGCCGCGUGCCGGAAGACGGCCCUAUGGGUUGUAAACGGCUUUUAAAUGGGAAGAACGAGAGGGUUUCGAUCUUCUGUGACGGUACCAUUUGAAUAAGCACCGGCUAACUCCGUGCCAGCAGCCGCGGUAAUACGGAGGGUGCAAGCGUUGUCCGGAAUCAUUGGGUGUAAAGGGUGCGUAGGCGGGAGCCUAAGUCUGUGGUGAAAUCUUGCCGCUUAACGGUAAAAUUGCCAUGGAUACUGGGUUUCUUGAGUACAGAAGAGGUCGGUGGAAUUCGUAGUGUAGCGGUGAAAUGCAUAGAUAUUACGAAGAACAUCAGUGGCGAAGGCGGCCGGCUGGACUGUAACUGACGCUGAGGCACGAAAGCGUGGGGAGCGAACAGGAUUAGAUACCCCGCGUAGUC